rnacentral:rRNA from 1 species
UCCUACGGGAGGCAGCAGUAAGGAAUAUUGGACAAUGGCCGCAAGGCUGAUCCAGCCAUCCAGCGUGCAGGAAGAAGGCCCUAUGGGUUGUAAACUGCUUUUAUCAGGGAAUAAACCUCUGGAUUCACUCCGGAGCUGAAGGUACCUGAAGAAUAAGCACCGGCUAACUCCGUGCCAGCAGCCGCGGUAAUACGGAGGGUGCGAGCGUUAUCCGGAAUUACUGGGUUUAAAGGGUGCGUAGGCGGCUUUGUAAGUCAGGAGUGAAAGUUUGCGGCUCAACCGUAAAAUUGCUUCUGAUACUGCAUGGCUAGAAUUAGGAUGAGGUCAGCGGAAUGUGGCAUGUAGCGGUGAAAUGCAUAGAUAUGCCAUAGAACACCAAUUGCGAAGGCAGCUGGCUAGACCUGGAUUGACGCUGAGGCACGAAAGCGUGGGGAGCGAACAGGAUUAGAUACCCUGGUAGUCCACGCCCUAAACGAUGCUUACUCGACGUAUGGCACUAGUUGUGUGCGUCCAAGGGAAACCGUUAAGUAAGCCACCUGGGGAGUACGACCGCAAGGUUGAAACUCAAAGGAAUUGACGG